AAUCAACGCUGGCGGCGUGCCUCAGACAUGCAAGUCGAACGAUUAAGACUUCCUUCGGGAAGUGUAUAAAGAGGCGCACGGGUGAGUAACACGUAAGUAAUCUACCUUCGAGUGGGGAAUAACAUCGGGAAACCGAUGCUAAUACCGCAUAAUGCAGCGGCAUCGCAAGAUGACAGUUGUUAAAGGAGCAAUUCGCUUGAAGAGGAGCUUGCGGCAGAUUAGCUAGUUGGUAAGGUAAUGGCUUACCAAGGCUACGAUCUGUAUCCGGUCUAAGAGGACGGUCGGACACACUGACACUGAAUAACGGGUCAGACUCCUACGGGAGGCAGCAGUCGGGAAUUUUGGGCAAUGGGCGAAAGCCUGACCCAGCAACGCCGCGUGAGGGAUGAAGUAUUUCGGUAUGUAAACCUCGAAAGAAUGGGAAGAAUAAAUGACGGUACCAUUUAUAAGCUCCGGCUAACUACGUGCCAGCCGCCGCGGUAAGAC
rnacentral:rRNA from 1 species